UACGUAGGGUGCAAGCGUUAUCCGGAAUUAUUGGGCGUAAAGAGCUCGUAGGCGGUUUGUCGCGUCUGCCGUGAAAGUCCGGGGCUCAACUCCGGAUCUGCGGUGGGUACGGGCAGACUAGAGUGAUGUAGGGGAGACUGGAAUUCCUGGUGUAGCGGUGAAAUGCGCAGAUAUCAGGAGGAACACCGGCGGCGAAGGCGGGUCUCUGGGCCGUAACUGACGCUGAGGAGCGAAAGCAUGGGGAGCGAACAGG
rnacentral:rRNA from 1 species